rnacentral:rRNA from 1 species
GACCGAACGCUGGCGGCAUGCCUAACACAUGCAAGUCGAACGAGACCUUCGGGUCUCGUGGCGCACGGGUGCGUAACGCGUGGGAACCUGCCCUUAGGUUCGGAAUAACUCCCCGAAAGGGGUGCUAAUACCGGAUAAUGUCUUCGGACCAAAGAUUUAUCGCCUUUGGAUGGGCCCGCGUUGGAUUAGCUAGUUGGUAGGGUAAAAGCCUACCAAGGCGACGAUCCAUAGCUGGUCUGAGAGGAUGAUCAGCCACACUGGGACUGAGACACGGCCCAGACUCCUACGGGAGGCAGCAGUGGGGAAUAUUGGACAAUGGGCGAAAGCCUGAUCCAGCAAUGCCGCGUGAGUGAUGAAGGCCUUAGGGUUGUAAAGCUCUUUUACCCGGGAUGAUAAUGACAGUACCGGGAGAAUAAGCUCCGGCUAACUCCGUG